UACAGAGGAGGCAAGCGUUGUUCGGAAUCACUGGGCUUAAAGCGCGUGUAGGCGGCCCGUCAAGUACCUUGUGAAAUCCCUCGGCUCAACCGGGGAAUGGCUGGGUAUACUGUCGGGCUUGAGGCAGGUAGGGGUGCCUGGAACUCUAGGUGGAGCGGUGAAAUGCGUAGAUAUCUAGAGGAACGCCCGUGGCGAAAGCGGGGCACUGGGCCUGUCCUGACGCUAAGACGCGAAAGCGUGGGGAGCAAACGGG
rnacentral:rRNA from 1 species